UCGUUUUGGAUUCCUGUUCAAAGAAUUUAAAAAUAAAUUGAUUGACUGAUUGAAUGAAUGAAUGAGAAUAUGAGACACUGCAUGUAAAAUUUAUAUAGGAUUUGUUUUUGGUGCGGUUCAAAAACGCGUUGCAGACGUCGUGGAAUCCCGAGACUGGACGGCCGUUCCCUACACUCACGUCGUCCGUCCCCUACACUCAGAAUCGCGGUUCCGGUUCCAGUCUUGCGAUUCCGAGAUUCCAGUUCCUGAAACCGCGUCUGUUCCAUGUGACGCAGGACAUUUGUCGGAUUUGAAAUCCGACAAAUCCGUGGCCCAUCGAUCCCCAGCCAGCUUCAGCUGUGGACGUUCGCAGGUGAAGCUGGCUGUAUUUAUAUAUAAGGUGAAAAAUGAGAUAUUUAAAUCAUAGUUGACCAUUUAAAAUAUUGGGAUUUACAUCAUAUUUUCAAUCGUCUAUUUAAACAUUGAAAUUUAUCUUGG
rnacentral:lncRNA from 1 species